CAUGUUCUAGAAGGCCUGGAUCUGUUUUGCACAGAACUACUCUGCCACUGACAAGCUCGGGAGUGGGAGGCUGGAGCAGGCCAUGUAAAUAAAUCUGCACAGAGGCAAACAGCAACAGUAGCAGCAACAACAACAGCAACAAGAACAACAGCAACAACAGGAACAACAACAGCAACAAGAACAACAGCAACAACAGGAACAACAGCAACAGGAACAAUAGCAAGAGCCCCUGCUUUUUAUGAGUAUUUAAAAAUCCCUUUUAAAACACCUUACAUAAUGUAGGAAUGAUUUCUCUUUGGUUUUAGCUCUUUAUCUAGUCAUUUGUCAUAUUGCAAACAAAUGUCAACAGAUAGACUUAUUGGCUAUCUUCCAUGGAAGAAUCUAGCUUGCUGGGGAUUGUUCUCACAAGCUACCAAAGUAUCAUUUUCUCUUCUCAUGGUUUUUAUUUGUGAGAUAUGUGUCCAUGAUCAGAACAUGUAAACACUUAAGAAGCUUUAAAAAGGCCACAGAAGGUCUAGCAAGAAUGGACUUGCUAGAGAGAAAGCGAGAGUAAGAACAAGAGAGGGAGAACAGGCAAAAAAGAGCAAGCUUCCUUCUAACAUGUCCUUUAUAUAGGCUACGAGCAGAUGGUGUGGUCUGGAUUAAAGCGGAUCUUAAUACCUCAAAAGAUCUGGAUUAAAAGUAUAUCUUUGUACCUCAAAGACUUGGAUUAGAGUGAGUCUCCCUACUUAAAAUGAUCCAUUUAAGAAAAAAAAUCCUUAUAAGUG
rnacentral:lncRNA from 1 species